AUGGGGCUUGGAUGUGGCUCCAGAGGCAUGACAGGUAUAUGGUGCUCACGGUGGCUGAUGCAUUACAUGAGCACAACUGGAUUAAGAUUCAGUAUAGCAUCUGUAAUGACAUCAUCAGUGAUUUCCUCUUCGUUUAGAGAAGCUGCAGCACUCCCAAAUUCAGCUAUGCCAGGACAUCCCUCAUUCUAUCAUCUGGAGGAUAACCAAGUCAGAGGGAGUACUUUGUUUUCUGAACCUGUAUGCCGACUGAGCAGAGUAGCAAUGGCCCUGAAGUUGCUCUACAGGUGUACUAAUACGACCAAGCCGAGGAAGAGGACGGUGGCCCUGAAGUUGCUCGUGUUAGAAUCGAUGGAUCGUUGCCACUCCAACCACGACCAUUGCCGAGGAGAGAUGGAGUGUGAGAGAAAACCAGUCUUUCGCUAUAUUUUUUUCAUUCUUCCGUAG
rnacentral:rRNA from 1 species